rnacentral:rRNA from 1 species
AUGGAGGAGCAUCUUGCCGCGCUCAUCAAGUCCGUCAACGAAGGCCGCGCCGCCAACGACGCGCGGCUGGACGCGAUCGAGACCUCCCUCGAGCUCUGGCGCCCAGUGGUGACGAGCCUGCAGAACCAGCUCGACGAGCUCCGCACGCAGGUGGGGCGCAUCGCCCUCCACCCCGUGCUGGCGGAAUCGACGGGUCCUGCGACGGAUCUCGCCGGAGCCGCGGUGGAUCCGGGCCGAUCGGAAGCCGAUCGGGUGGGGCUCAAGACGGGCGAGCAAAAUACCAGCAACCUCGAGCACCACGGGCUAAGUGGCCACGGCGACGUCGAGAAUUCCGGGGGUUUGGCUUACGGGGUUGUCACCACCCAGUUGCCGCCUCCGGCCAAUAGUACGUCUCUGACUGAUCCUGCCUUUAGAUCUCUUGCCCUGAGUCACGUAGGUCAGUAUAGAGAGUACGACGCACGCGCACAGCAUAAUCCGGCGAGUUGGUCUCUGCCUAAAUUGGAUUUUCUAUCAUUUGAUGGGGAUAAUCCACAAUUUUGGCAGACUCGCUGUGAGAAGUAUUUUGAUGUUUAUGGGGUUCAACCAGAAUUUUGGGUUCGGGUUGCUACCUUGCAUUUUACUGGGAAUGAUGCUCGUUGGUUACAGUUACAUGAAGCUAAGAGUAGAAAUCUGACUUGGGUGGAAUUGUGCACAGCUCUCUAUGGGGAAUUUGGCAGAGAGCAGUACCAAGUGUACCUACGCCAAUUUAGAACCCUCAAACAAACAGGCACGGUUAGCGAGUAUAUGCAUCAAUUUGAAGAAAUUAUGCAUCAGUUGUUAGUGCAUAACCCUGCAUUUGAUCAUUUGUUUUUCACACCACAAUUUUUAGAAGGGCUCGGGCAAGAGAUUCGUAUGGGCGUUGUACUUCAUCAACCAAAGGACUUGGACUCCGCUUUUUCCCUAGCUUCUUUGCAGGAAGAAUUGAUGGACGCCAUGCCUCGCCGUGACCCAAGGCGAUAUGAGGCUCCCCAAGUACGGCAACAACCUCGCCCACUCCUCGCUGGCGGGGCACCACUGGGUCGUCCCAUUCCCCUGGUGCAGCCUGCAGCAGCAGAUGAUCGGCGUGGGGUGGAAGCGGCACACCCACCCGAGCGACUGUCACGGAGAGAAGAUCGCGUAGCCGCGCUGAGAAACUACAGGCGUGCCCGUGGCCUGUGCUUCAAAUGCGGUGAAAGGUGGGGGCAGGGGCAUCAGUGUGGACCGGCAGUUCAGCUGCAUGUGGUCGAGGAACUGUUGGAGCUGUUGCAGGCAGAUCAAGGGGCUCAACCAGUUCAGGAUCCAGAUUCAGACGAGGAUGUCCUCAUGUGCAUCUCCAAGGUCGCUACUACCGGCCAAACUACACCGCGCACAGUUCGGUUGCUGCGAAACAUUGGAGGACAAGAAGUCUUAAUCCUGGUGGAUUCAGGGAGCUCACACAGUUUCCUUAGUGAGGAUGUAGCGGCGCGGCUGCAAAUACCAAUACAGCCAAUGGCUGCUGUCUCAGUCAUGAUUGCGGAUGGAGGAACAUUAUCUUGUUCAGGCAGCAUCCCAAGGUGCAAGUGGGCGAUGCAAGGGCACGAGUUUGUAACUGAUUUGAUAGUUUUGGCGCUGGGUUGCUAUGAUAUGAUCGUGGGUAUCGAUUCGCUUGAAGCUUGUGGUCCUAUGUGGAUUGAUUGGGCAGAGAAACGACUGCAAUUCACACACCAAGGGCAGCUUAUUUAA